GUAGUUGCACGUUCGCUGCCAAAGACAGCCGGUGUCUGGAAACAGACUUAAAGGGAUUACCCGCCUGCCGAGGUGGUCUUGAAGAUAGAAUCCUCAGACCCCGCUUUGGUUGCAAAGUGGGGUCUUUUUCAUGGAGGA
rfam:Atopobium rimae ATCC 49626 contig00003, whole genome shotgun sequence.